rnacentral:rRNA from 1 species
AAUCAACGCUGGCGGCGUGCCUCAGACAUGCAAGUCGAACGCGAAAUUCCGAGCAAUCGGGAAAGUAGAGUGGCGCACGGGUGAGUAACACGUAGGUAAUCUACCUUUGGAUGGGGAAUAACAACCGGAAACGGUUGCUAAUACCGCAUAAUGCAGCGGCACCUAAUGGUGACAGUUGUUAAAGCGGGGGAUCGAAAGACCUCGCGUCUAAAGAGGAGCCUGCGGCGGAUUAGCUAGUUGGUAAGGUAAUGGCCUACCAAGGCUACGAUCCGUAACCGGCCUGAGAGGGCGGUCGGUCACACUGACACUGACAUACGGGUCAGACUCCUACGGGAGGCAGCAGUCGGGAAUUUUGGGCAAUGGGCGAAAGCCUGACCCAGCAACGCCGCGUGAAGGAUGAAAUCCCUCGGGAUGUAAACUUCGCAAGAACGGGAAGAAUAAGCGAAAGUUAAUAUCUUUCGUGAUGACGGUUCCGUUUGUAAGCUCCGGCUAACUCCGUGCCAGCCGCCGCAG